GAUCGGCACAUGUCCUCGGACAUGGCCCGAUAUGAACCUUCCCGUGCUUUUUAGAACAUAGAUGGCACCAGUCAGGUGACUAUCGAAACGUAAUACGCCGCGAUGACUUCGGUCACGACGGUAUGGCGAGCUUUCGCCGUCCACGUUUCUCUUUCUUCAAGAAGACAAAAAACCGCGUCGACCGGUUCCCCGAAUGGGCCCGUAGCUCAGUUGGUUAGAGCACACGCUUGAUAAGCGUGGGGUCGGAAGUUCAAGUCUUCCCGGGCCCACCAUUUGCACCAGCAAAUGAAAUUUGCUGUAGCGAAUGAGGGUUGAGGGAUGAUGGAAUGUCAGGCGAUGCGGAUUGUUGCCGAACCUUGGGGUCUUGCCCCUGGGUGAUCGAGCUGGAGGGGCUGUAGCUCAGCUGGGAGAGCACCUGCUUUGCAAGCAGGGGGUCAGCGGUUCGAUCCCGCUCAGCUCCACCAAAUCGAUUGGUGUUGAAGCUGACGGCAUUUGUCUUUUGAAGAAAUAAAAGUUUUGCACUGGCUUCGAGCUGGUGCCUGUUCUGCAUACAUUGUGAAGAGAAGAUUGAUCUGGAGGCUUCCAGGUGUUUUGGGUUUUGCCCAAGGCGUCCGAGCCCAGUUCCUGUGAAACCAUGGAUGGCCUAGCCGGCCGGAUGUGGUGGAGGGAUUGGAGGUAGGUAGGAAGCUUGUCACUCUGGAUCGUUUGUUGUUCGUUGCCUUUGGGCAUCGUCUGAUGAACGAUCGGAUUACCGUUGCCUGACCGCGCGGUAUCGGAUCCAAUCUCGAGAAGCUGGUCUUAAGACAGGCUGCAAGCGAGCUGCUCGGCGUAGCUCCAANAAAGCAGACCUGUCGAACACGUCGAUGGCAUCAUGAAAUGAUCCGGUUGUAAAAGGUAACCGGAUUUUUGGACUGGCCGCACGGCAAUCGCAAGGUUGUCUGGAUGGUCGCACGUCCAAAUAUGGAUGAGCAUUGGCAAUGAGAACGAUUAAGUGUCGUAAGGGCAUUUGGUGGAUGCCUUGGCAUGCACAGGCGAUGAAGGACGUGAUACGCUGCGAAAAGCCGUGGAG
rnacentral:misc_RNA from 1 species